GACGAACGCUGGCGGCGUGCUUCAUACAUGCAAGUCGAACGAGAAGCAGGAGCUUGCUCCUGUGGAAAGUGGCGGACGGGUGAGUAACAUGUAGGGAAUCUGCCUUUAGGCGGGGAGUAACAGUUGGAAACGAUUGCUAAUACCCCAUAUGAGCUUAGUUGAGAUACUAAUCUUGAAAACUCCGGUAGCCUAGAGAUGAGCCUGCAUCUGAUUAGCUAGUUGGGGGUGUAAGUGGACCACCAAGGCGACGAUCAGUAGCUGGUUUGAGAGGAUGAUCAGCCACAAUGGGACUGAGACACGGCCCAU
rnacentral:rRNA from 1 species